AUUGAACGCUGGCGGCAGGCUUAACACAUGCAAGUCGAGCGGAGAUGAGGUGCUUGCACCUUAUCUUAGCGGCGGACGGGUGAGUAAUGCUUAGGAAUCUGCCUAUUAGUGGGGGACAACAUUCCGAAAGGAAUGCUAAUACCGCAUACGUCCUACGGGAGAAAGCAGGGGAUCUUCGGACCUUGCGCUAAUAGAUGAGCCUAAGUCGGAUUAGCUAGUUGGUGGGGUAAAGGCCUACCAAGGCGACGAUCUGUAGCGGGUCUGAGAGGAUGAUCCGCCACAAUGGGACUGAGACACGGCCCAGACUCCUACGGGAGGCAGCAGUGGGGAAUAUUGGACAAGGGGGGGAACCCUGAUCCAGCCAUGCCGGGUGUGUGAAGAAGGCCUUAUGAUUGUAAAGCACUUUAAGCGAGGAGGAGGCUACUGAGACUAAUACUCUUGGAUAGUGGACGUUACUCGCAGAAUAAGCACCGGCUAACUCUGUGCCAGCAGCCGCCGUAACAC
rnacentral:rRNA from 1 species